rnacentral:lncRNA from 1 species
UCUCUCCCCAUACUUUCUCUCACCAAGUCAGCAGACAACUUUGUGCUAGGUUUGCUUGCUAAAUCUGACUGAACCUUGGGUUUUCUUGCAGGCUGGAAACUGCAUGCGAUUGUGCUCAAUACUGUGGAGAAUGCCUCAAACAGAUCACACAUGACUUAACACAGAUAAAAGCAUGAGAUCCACAAUGCUGUAGCCUCUUCUGCUUCUGGACCCUGCACCAGAGGCAGAUGGCUGGGCUGAUCUGUGUGUGGACAGGCAGAGGCAUUCAGCUCCUGUUGCCACAGAGGAAAGGUGGAUGGAGCACUUACUUACGAUAGCUGGGGAUUCACCUUGCAGCACUCCAGGCCACUUGGCUCCCUGAGGAGCACCUACAGAGCGAAUGGCAGCUGUGCCCAGCGUGUGGCUGCUCUGGGCAAGGCUCCCACGUCCCAGCCCCGGUGGGUUCCCUCUCAUGAGACUACGUGCCUGCCCAGAAACCUCCCAACUUGGAUUCCCUUGGCUGUCUUUGCCAGCCUAUGAGGGCAUAUGGUGUGCCCAGAAAUGCUGAUUCUAGCCUGGAGACAGCCAAUUUGGAAUUAAUAGGAGCACCUCUUAGCCCCCUGUGGCUUUGCAAUGGAUCAGGAGAAGGAGAGCGGACCUACUGAAGUGGAGUAGAGGCAUACCAUAGGUGCACCAUGUCCAGAAAAGACUCACCGUACUACCAGGUGUUGUAGAUCAUACUGGUUGUGGCCCAUACUUUCUGUCCACAGGGGCAUUUCUAGAACAGCAGUUCAUCAGGGAUCUGCAGUGUAGCCAAGAUCUUUUGUCUACUGCAAUCCACUUAAGCACUUGAGUGAAGUACUAACCAGAGUUUUACUUCUGCUCUUUUAGCGUAUACAUAGCAUUCCUG